rnacentral:rRNA from 1 species
UACAGAGGUCUCAAGCGUUGUUCGGAAUUACUGGGCGUAAAGGGUGCGCAGGCCGCGCGGGCAGUCAAAUGUGUAAUCCAGGGGCUCAACCCCUGAACUGCGCUUGAUACUUCCGCGCUCGAGCUUUGGAGAGGAGUCUGGAAUUCUCGGUGUAGCAGUGAAAUGCGUGGAUAUCAGGAGGAACACCGGUGGCGAAGGCGGUUCUCUGGGAAUGUCCUGACGCUGAGGAGCGAAAGUGUGGGGAGCGAACAGG